UACGUAGGUGGCAAGCGUUGUCCGGAUUUACUGGGCGUAAAGAGCGCGCAGGCGGUCGUUCAAGUCGCGUGUGAAAGCCCCCGGCUCAACUGGGGAGGGUCACGCGAUACUGAUCGACUCGAAGGCAGGAGAGGGAAGUGGAAUUCCCGGUGUAGUGGUGAAAUGCGUAGAUAUCGGGAGGAACACCAGUGGCGAAGGCGACUUCCUGGCCUGUUCUUGACGCUGAGGCGGCGAAGGCCAGGGGAGCAAACGGG
rnacentral:rRNA from 1 species